UAAGUUGUAGUUAAUAAAAGCAUUUCACUUACAUUGGAAAGAUUACUUUAGAGUACUACUUAA
rnacentral:tRNA from 1 species